rnacentral:rRNA from 1 species
CAGUCGUACCGGCGGAUAAUCAGCCUUUCGGGCGCGAUUCUGUGGGGCGUGAGGAGUUUAACCGCCUUCAUGUUUUGCAUAUUCGUGCACAUUUGGUGUACUUGUCCGUGUGGUGGGUUAACAUUAAUUUCGGUCGUCAUAAAAUGAUUGGAGGAAUGUAGCUUUGAUCUCGUAUCGAAGUGUUAUGGACUCUGGUAAUGUGACGAGUUGGGGAUUGAGGAUUGCAACGGAUACCCCGUUGGGGGCCUACCCGUCUGACCU